GAGGGCAUGGCUCAGGGUAGAGUGUGUUCUUAGCAUGCACGAGAUUCUGGGUUCAAACCCUUGUACCUCCA
rnacentral:tRNA from 1 species